ensembl:lncRNA
CCAGAAUCCCUGGCUUCUGGGUGGCUGUCUUUCCAGAAGCUUGAAGCUGUACAUAGCAGGUUGGAUUAGGGCAAAGUGCGUGGCCUCCUUGUCCAGUCCCCCAGGUCGCUCCCCAGGGCCUCUGCCGAUUUGUACUGCUAUGCAGUCCUCGAUCCCAGCGGCUCCCUCUGCCCCCUUUCCAGAUGUAGAGAAGGUACGGCUGUCAUUUCCUGCUGAUGCCCCACCCCAGGUGCUGCCCCAACCUCUGGGGGGAGGGGGGUUCCUUUAUGCAAAUCUCCACUUGAAUUUCCUGUCUGUAUCCAAAAUGUCAAGAUGUCUAAAAGGCUACAUACUUCGGGGCAUACACUAAACACUUAGUAAAAUGUAGAUGCUACUGAAAUCCUUCUCAGGGGAGCAAAUUAGAUUUGCGUACAUAGACUUGUCUCCUAGGCUCCUUCCAGCUUCUGGGAUAGAGGCAAGGAGGGCCUUUUACCUUGCUGACUCCUACUUAGGACCUGGAGGGACGAGCAUAUGAGAGGGGACAAACCCAAGACCCAGGAGUUCUAUGUCCCAGGCACCGUUUUUCCCUUCUUGCCCCCACCACACACACACCUGGGAAACAUUCUGACACCUGAGCCUUCCUGUUCUACUUUCAUUCCUGUUGCUAUGAAAGAUACCCUAACCAAAAGCAACAGAGAAGACUAAAGGUUUUAUUCUCAUCUACCGUUCCAGGUUCCAGUCUGCCACCGAGACAAGGUCUACGCAGAACUAAAGCAGGGAUACUGGAAGGCACAGAUGUUGCUUCUUAACUAAUUUUCGUUUAUCUCUCUCUUGCUUCAUAUAGCUCACACGCACACAAACACACAGACACACACCACACACCCCACCUAGGGAAUGAUUCCACCCACAAUGAGUUCAGUCUUCUUACAACAAUUAGCAAUAGAGACAGACAAACUCUCCAAAGAAGUGUCCACAGGCCACCCUGAUCUAGCAAGUCCCUCAACCCAGGGUCUCUUCUCAGCUAAUUCCAGAUUGUGUGGAGUUGACAUUUAAAACUAAUCGUCACACCUCACCACCAGGAUGUGGUGCCUAGAUGCAGUCCACUCUGGGCACCCUUAAACCCAAUCUAAAUGAUCCUUCUCUCCCAGCCUGACUACAGAGUGUUCUGGUACCAGAACCUGACUACUAUUCUUGGUAACAGUGCUUUGGGACCACUUCUCAGCCCCUGUCCUGACCACUUAGUAAUUGUUCUUCCAUAGGAAAGAAGGUUUGUUUUUGUUUGUUUGUUUGUUUUUGUUUUUUUAAGGUUUUUAUAUAACUUAGAGGAAUGAGAAAGUCCUCCACGGCAGCCUGGGGAAUGUUCAGAGAGGUUAAUGAGCUGCUUUACCUGAAAAAUCAGCUGCCUAUUUACAGGGUUUCCCUAUGAGAGUUCCAGAACUUUGGAACUCCAUUCCACCACCUGGAACAGACUCAUAUGAGCCCUGACACAGUCACUUUCUCUGAUAAGCAGACUUCAUUCAUCUGGAACUUGGAGGCUCUGGGGCUUCCACGAGUGAACCUUCACUUCCAACCUUCUCUCUAUCUCCAGGCACCCAUGCAACAAGUAGCACACAGGAGCAAGUCCUGGCCGGCUCACGCAGCUGGCCUGUGGCAGUGUCCCCUUGAAAGCCAGCACUUUCUCCCACAGCUGGCUGCUCCAGCCUCCCAGAUCUGCUGUCCAAAUCUACAUGGGAGGUAUGUGUAUAGGUGUGAGUCAAAUAUUCGAAACAGAGCAUCAGGAUGAAUUUUCAAAGCAAAUCCAGCUCAUCCUCUCAGCUUCCCAUAGUCAUACUCUUUAGAAGCUUGCAGCGAGGGUCCUGCAGGCUCUAACCAUCCUAGCACAAAAAACAGCCAGAGAAAAGGACACAGUGAAGGACCAAAGCAUCUAGUCCCUACCACCUCCAGUGGCCUCAGCUCUUUGUGCAGAAGGCAGAGGCAGUCUGUUGUCUCAGGGCCCUCUGUUUCCUUGCACACACAGUGUAAGACGUGUUUGAUAUCUGCUUGACGCCAUUCAAGGAAAGACAUCUGCAGUCAAAUGCUCUACCACCGAGCUCUACCGCCAAGGAAAGACAUCUGCUCUGCUGCAGACUGAUAGAACCAACCCUGCAUUACCAAGGCCUGGUACCACUCCACCGCCCCGCCCCAGAUUCUUUCUGUGGAUCCCUCAAGGAGGAAGGGCUCACAAUCUAGUGACCCUUUCAACACAAGUGGCUUUGGUCGAGAUAAAUACCACAUAUGACAUGACUCUUUGUCAUCCCCUGAACCUCCCUCAGAGGCCUGAAACCUCCGGGACAGCAGGAGUUCAAGGACCAUGUGUUUUUCCACUCCUGGUAUCUCCAGCACCCUGCCAGGUAUCUGGGACAAAACAAAGUCCCCAUAAACACAGGCUCACAUGGAACCAAAGCAAGGCAGUGGUCUCCACCAACUUUAACCAAAGAGGCAGUAAAUCCCCUGGGGCUCACAGUUUUGCAUUAAAGCUAAGGGAUUGAACAGAAUAAUGUCUAAGGUCACUUUCAGUUCAUGGACAAGGAGGUCACCCUGGCCUCUUUGCAAUCUGCACACAGGAGCCCCAAGACAUCACAAUAAAUGCACAGUUUGUGUGCCAAACCUCACCUCUCCAAACCCAGCAUUAGAAAUGCUGGCAAACACCUGACCAAGUGAGAGAGGACUCAGAAAGACAGGAAGCCACCCUUUCAGGGAGAAGGGAGGAGCUUGAGACCUGGGGGUAGCAUGCUCGAGUCUCCCCAAGCAGACUAGUUCUGAGAAAGAAUCCGAGUGAACUUAAAGGAGAUAGGGACUUUCUUUACAAAGAGGCCCCAGGUGACUGCCAGCAGAACACUACAGCUUCUUGUUUUGCAGACAGUGAAACCGAGACCCAGGACCCAGAAUAGCUUGGGUGCCACGUUGCAAAGCAACGGAGCCUUGGCACUGAGACUCAGAGGCAGGCUUUCACUGGGGUCACGUCUGGGUUCUUCUGACCAAAUUAGAACAGACAAGCAAGCUCUCUCGUGGGUUUUCAGGCCAUUUCAGGAAUGCAGUUUCCAUGUGGGUCAUGCAAAUGAUCAAAAGGUCCUGAAAGUCUGAUUUUGGGUUUCUUCUGACCUGGCCAGCUUUCCAUGCACAAAGCAGUCGUUGGGAAGUACUCUAGAAGUCUCACUUCCCAAUUUUCAGUAACUUUACAAUCAGCUCAAGACCAAAAAAUUACACAGACAAUUCUACAACUUUUAAACUGAUAGGUUUGAAGCAACCUAUUGCUGAAUAUUGUUAUAACUGCUCCAUUUCGCUGCUAGUUACGGUUAACCUUUUGCUGCGGCUUAAUUUAAAAUUUGGACUUUGUCACAACACUCCAUGGUAGCUAAGGUCUUGGAUAUCUACCCGUAUCUUGGGAAAUAUCUGUGGAUAAGAGACCAUUGUACAAUGAUUGAUGGACUUUACUUUUUUUUUUCUUUUUCUGUUUGCUUUUUGGAGACUGGAAGGGCUUGGGAUGAAAGUUAAGGUUCAGCUUCCACCAAACAACAGCCCUGUCCAAACACAAACCCAUGAGUUAGUAACACUAGCCAGGUAAAUUGAUGAGGGGUAGAUACCAAAGUCAUGCAACUGGAGGUGCCUUCCAGGGGAGGACUGCCCGACACUUGUUUCUAGGGUAGAGUCCUGACAAGACAGGCUUCUUGGUGGAAGGAGAGAUGGAGAUGCACUUGUCAAAGUCAUACUGAGAAUCUAGGACCCCAAGGCAUCCUUUCCUUCCAGGCCCAUACACGGAUAACUUCCCCAAGCCUUGGCAGACAAGAGGGGAAACAAGGACUCCUGACACUGGUGGUAGGCAAUUGUUCAGAGGUCCCAACUGGAGGGGGCACAUAGGCGAGGUAGCAACCUGCACCAAAGACUAGACCCCAGCACCAUCUACAAAUAGCUCAGAGAAAGUCAGCUUCCGCUUGCUGCUGCAGAGCAAGCAAGCUCACACACUUAAACCCUCGUGUUCACUUCCAGGGGCACUUCCUGUUUUCAAGCUCCAGGAUGUUGCUGCCUGAAGCAAAGCCACUGUGGGGAAGCCCCCUGCUAAACCCAGGCCCUGGCUUUAAUAGUCAGUAUGACCUCAGGGAAAGAAAAAAAAAAAAAAAGAGGAAUUGUCAGAAAGCUGAGGGAAGAAGCGCGCCGUUCAUUCUUUUAUUCCUUUAGUCAGCUCCUGUCCGCGCACAUGUGAACACACAUUGUAAGCAUAUUGUAAGCAUAUGUCUGCACGAUAUACAUCUACACACAGUUCUGCAUAAUAUCUAUCCUGCAGGACCCAUUUGGGAUAAGGAAACUGAGGCUCCGAAAUGCUAUCUCCACCCUCCAUGCAAUUUUAGGCACACGCGGGAGACACAGGACGGUGAAGUUUAGUUACUGUUUCUUUUCAGCCAAUCACGGAAGUUCAGAAAAUGACAAGGCUUUGGUGUUUGGGCAGGAAGGGGAAGUGCAGGGAGGCUCAGGGGCCCAGCCCUGAGGCUCUGGUCUUCCUUUCUCACAGUUUAGCCUAGCCGUUGUUUCCAAAGACGCCGGCAGGGGGCAGUGCAUCUCUCUUUUUCAAACCUGGGGGCGCUAUGGGCCAUGAUCCAAGAAAGAAAAUCAGGGGACACCGCCCCCGGUUUCCAGAAACACGCACACUGGUUUAGCGAGGGAGGUAGUAGGUGCUCAGCGCGCUCCUAGAAGCCGCUGGAUCAAUUUAAAUUUAGUAGUAAACGGUAAGGGACGAGGGGCGUUCCGACUCCGGCCAGCGCCUUGUGUCCCAGAGGCCUUCCCACUGAGCGCAGGCUUAGCACCUACUGUGUGCCAGGAGCAGCGGCAGAGAUCGCAUAGCCCUGUCCCCGGCUCCUAGCAGUUUUUCCUCUGGGGAGCGGCCCCUCACCUGCCGCAGGGAGGGGUGGGCGCUUCAUCUCACCACAAGUCCGUUAGGGCGAGGGGGCGCGGAGCUGGGAAAGGAGAGGGUACCCCAUAAACACAGUGGAAGUCCGGCGAAAGCCUGCUGUAGCGACUGAGCGAGCUUGCUCCCGUCCUCGGGGGUCACUGAGGUCUCCUGGGACUCAGCCUCCGAGAUGCCGGGGCCAGCCCAGCCCCCACUCACCCGCGCACUCCGGGGCGCGCACGUCCUCUCAUGGAGUGCCACCAGUUCCUACUGGCGGUAGGAGCUGGCUAGGACCCUUGUGCAAGAGGCUGGAGAAAUUCCAGGUCGGGGCACCCUUUCCCGAAAUCUCCGUGAGUCAAGGCGAUGACGCCUUACCUGUACCACGAGGGGGGCACCGGUCAACUCAAUGCCCAUCUCGAGUUCAGCCGCGCUGCCUCCCGCAAGGUCACGCUCAAACACUCACACGUAGAAAAGAUAAAAAAAAAAAAAAACAACCAAACAAGCAAAUAAAAAACUCCAAGGGCUCAAAGUUGCUUGCGCAACGGUCCGAUUCGGAGCUAACAGUACUCCAACCGAGUCGCCUUGCCCGGUGUCAACGGUUUCCCACCCCGGUGCACUCAUCAAAGGGGCGGAGGACUGUGCCCUGCGCACGUCACAUUACAGAGACACGGACAAGUUGCUAACUUUUGUCACAUUGUUUCUUGGCAGCUGAGGCGCCUAACAGGGUUGGGGCAGACUCCCAAGUUUCGAGUUGCCACCGCCUGCUCCCUUUGCCCACGCUAAUCCACCGGCUUUCCAACACACCUCAUGCAGCUGUCCUGUCCUAAGAGCCAACUUGUCCCGGAGAUCCGGCGCAGCGCGGGAUUAGAGGUGUCCCGGGGGCCCACAGCCUCCUCCCGGGUCUGCGCCUGCUCACAGCGGAUUGGGAGACUCCAUCCCGGACACUGUCCCACUAUCUCUGGUCUAGAUAACCAACGGCCUCCAAGCGUCCCCACAGUGUCCCAGCCCAAGACCUCGGCUUCUCUAGAGAGUGUGGGCAAGCAGCCCCUGAUGGAGUCUGCUACCCGCGGCCCGGGCUAGGAGCUACUGCGGUGCUGGGUGCAAUGUCACCGCGGCCGCUCCGGGAAUAGCUGCCACCAUCACCGUAGGCUCCCCCACUGAGCUCCGGGAGGCUCCUCCGUUAAGCGCCAAAGAGCCUGGAUCCUCAGAGCUGGAGUCUCCUCCCUGACACUCUUCCUGAGACCACCGUGGUGGCCGUGGCUGAGACGGAGCUCUCUCCCUCUCGGCGCCUAGGGUCUUCGGCCCCACUUCCUCUGCCAACCAUACCUUCCUAAGUCCCUUCCCCACCCCUGCUGUGCCGGGGUCCGGGCGAUCACCUCUGCACUCAGAGAACACAUGCGGAAUUUCCCGAGCCCCAACUCACGAGGCGGCGCCGUCCCUGGGGCACCCGGACAGCGACCAGCUGGGUGCGCACUCGCCCAACGCCGGAGACACACCGGAGUUGCCCGGCUUGGGGUGCAGAGGAGGUUCGGAGGGGUAUCUAAGGAGAUGCGUCCGGGAUACUCACCCCGACCAGCUCACACCUCCGGGUCCUCCUCUACCUCCUCUUCUGCCUCCUCCUCUCGCCUCCCUCCGGUCUAGGGCUCUUUGUCUUUGCAAAGUGUCGAAAGUAUCUGGCAUAGUGGGCUCCGGCGGCAGAGGCUAGCGCCGGGAGAGCGGGAGGCGGGGUGAGGAUGGGAGCGGCCUCUGGAACACCUUCCCCCGGGUGUAACGGGAGUCGGAGGCGGGGCGUCCGGAGAGGGGCCGCCUUCGCCCGCCGGCUGGGACCAAGCGGCGACUUGGGCGCGCCCAGCCCCGCGGCCGCCUCCACAGCGCGCAGCCCUCCCCUUCCUCCGCCCAGCGCCCGCCCCUCGGAGCCCCGGCGCCCCGGCGCCCCUCCCGCCGGCCUCGGCUCGGCUUUCCCCUUGCUUGGGGCUUCCUGCGAGCCCAAUAUAGCUCUGCCGAGCCACGUGGACCGCAGCGGGCUGGGUGGAGGCCGGACCGGCCUAAGAGACGCCGGAGGAGGAGGCGCGGGGACCGGAUCGCCGCCCCGAGAGAGGGGCUCUGCGGGAACAGCGCGCGAGGCUAGGGAAGAACUCCCCGGAGGCCUCAAGCUCGCGGGGUCAACCCCCGGGACAAGGCGAUGGGCGUGCGCCGAGAGGACGUGGCUGGCGGUGCCGAGAAGAUCCCUAGUCGGGUGUGCGGUGGAGAGAGGUGGCGAUCCCCCCUGCAGAGCCACCUCUUCCUCUAAGGGCGUGGGACUGGAGGUGGGAUUUAGGGAAGCUGGGGAAGGGGCUCGGUGGGAUUAGGGAUCGCGGAUGCUAGCGCCUUGGCGCGGCCAGGACUCGGAGCCUCAGAGCCUGGCUCGGUAGCAUCCACACCCCCGCCCUUCCAAGAUGCUCGCCGCGGGUGUUUUCCUAGCGGAUGGACAGGCAGCAGCGUGGCCCUAAGCUGGGCUAAGUGGGAACUUGAGUUACAGGGAUUCCCAAGGCAGUUUGAGGCUGGGGAUUUAGUUUGGGUACUAGGCUUGCCCUCCCCGUUUUAAUAGGUAAGUGAGGCUGGAUAUACAAUUUACCGAGUGCCGGUCACAGACCCUAAAUAGUAGGUUUAAAAAGGCAUUUGUGAAAUCUCGGCUGUCCGUUCGUAUCCUCUCACUGGGACUAUCUCUCCUGGAAACUUUUCUGUGGAACGUUAAGAGGAAAGACAGGGUGCGCAGGGCUCUUUCCGUUUUCAGCUGAGGCUUCUGGGGUAAACCUUUGCAGUGGAGAAGGCUAGGGCUGCCUAGCUGCUCACUCAUCAGAAGGAGAUUGUAAUUUAGGGGAGAAUUUGCGGCGCUUCUCCACGACUGUGUGAUCUUGGACUCAUCGGUGAUGUCCUCCGUUUCCUAGGUUUGCUUGGUGCCUUGACGUCCUCACUUGAAAAUAGCCCUAAUCUAAUCACGGCGUCUGUUUGCUAGGGUUUGUUUUGCUGAGCAAGUGGAUACAGGCAUGCAGAGCUCCGGAAACUGUCGUUGGUGGCAUCUUCUGAGAGCUCAGCCCAAGCCCGCUGCAGAAGGAGGAAGGAGCGGGUUUCAACUGUGCUCCUGACCUGCCUAGAUAGAUAGGGUGGAAGCAUUGUGUAAGACCGGGGAAGCAGACUCAAUUAGAAGGGAGGAAGGGGAGGACAAAGAGAAAACAAACUACCAGAAAAGGAAAUAAAAGAAACCGAGACCCACAAGUUCCACUAGUCAGGGGGUGGGGGAGUAAUGCGCAAGAUGUCCUUCCUUCAGGUAAGUCUCCCCCUGGGGGAGGCCUUACCUGCCACUUGACUGUCCCCACCCGCUGGGAAUUUGAGGGAAGAGGUCUCCAAGGUGCUCUAUGACCCAUGCUGAAUCCUCUUCCCUGCUGUCCUUGGUUGAUUUGGGUUUCCAUGCUAUACAGGGGGUGAGGUCCUUGCCCCACGCGAAAGUGUCUCUGUAAGCUUUUUUUUUUUCUGAGACACUGGUCAGACUGCAGCACCUGGCGUUCUUUUGCGUGCUUGGGAGAGGAGGGCAGAGUUCCAAUCCUGUCAGCUACUGCCCCUCAUAGCACAGCAUCUUCCAACCAUAUCUAGUGUGGGCCACUUAGAUUCUUGGUAGCCAGUGGUACGGUUUGGAGCAGGAGCACACACCCGGGAGACCCUCAGAAGGCAAUUUAAAUGGUCACCUAGCUGGACCUUACUGCAGAGAACGGAGUCUGGUGGUUUGCAAGGCUGUGUCUACUGGCUGUGUGCCUCUUGAGUUGAUGAGGCUUUCUGUGGCUAAGGAACCCUGCUUCCUGCUGACUGCAGCCCUCUCUCUGUGUGGUUCACAAGGUAGUAAGGAAGUGUUGGGUGAAUUAGUCUUGCAAGGAACCAUGGGUGCAAAGGGAAUCACUUAGGCAAAUGGAACCACACUUGGUGAGUAGGAGACUGCUUUUGUAUUCUAAUGGAUUCCCUGGAGGGAGGGUUAGAUUAGGCAAAUUGACAGCCCCCCCGGGGCAUCCAGCUGUUGCACUUUGAGAGCCAGCUCUGUUUCUACCCCCAGAGUGGGUCUCCGGAUGACUUCAAAGGGGCCUCCGGUGAGUUCUGGUGAAUGUGCAUAAGCCACUGCCUUACCCAUGUAAAAUGCAUCUACUUCUAGUCAGGGAAUGCAGGCAGGACCUUUUUAAAUCCACCCACUGGCUGUCUUGUUACAACACAACUUCUUUCUAGGUAACAGGAUGGGCCUUCCAUAUUCCUUCCCUUCUUUUCUGUUCCUUCCUCUUCAAUUUUUUUUUUUUUUUGAGUCGUGAUAUUCUGUUCAGGCAGCACUUUAGACACCCUGGACCAUUUCCAGAAGCAAAGGAAACAGGCUGCAUGCCAAGGGUGGAUGGAUGCGUUUCUUCUUGUCACCCUGAUCCGUGUCUCCCAACAUGCCCUGCUGGGGAACCACUGGGAGUAGUCAUUACUGGGAGUGCCUGCACAGCAGGUCCCCUGGGGAGCCCCUGACAGGGAUUUAGUGCCCACCACCACCUCCCCAUGAGUUCAGAGCACAGCAAAGCUCUACUGACGGCUGAGGAAAUUGAUUUUCUCUUUCCCUUCCCCCUUUGUUGGCACACCAGAGUGGAAAAGUACUAAUGGGUUCCAAUCCCACUGGGAUUGUGCAGAAAAGAGCAGGUGAUGGGGCUUGCUGGAGGCUCUCAGAGGGGCUGGCACACGCUCUCUUGUGUUUUGGGUGGUGCUUUCUUGGGUCUCAGGGCUGUGAGGACUUCCUGAACUCUCCUUAAGUGCUUAAUAUGGAAAUGGCCAAAAUAAUGCAGCUUGGGGAGCUGGAAGGAAAGCGCUUUCUCUCUCUCUCUCUCUCUCUCUCUCUCUCUCUCUCUCUCUCUCUCUCGUGUGUGUGUGUGUGUGUGUGUGUGUGUGUGUGUGUGUGUGUGUGUGUGGUUUUCUUUCUCUUCUGGAAUAUCCCUUAAUACUUUGAGUGGGUUUGUUUGUUUCAUUUUGGUUUCUUCCCAAGCCUCUGAUACCACUGUAACAGUAGAGACAGUUAUUUUAGUUGCACACCCUGGCUGUUGAUCCCACCCAUAUUUGACUUUGUUCAGGAGAGAAAUCACAUUGACAAGCCCAUCCAGGAGUUAAUGGGGUCACCAACCCAACCUGCACAGGCAGCCAAGCAUCGUGUGUCCAUCACUGAGUUGACCAUGGGGAAGAAGAACCCUCUAGAUUUGACACUUGAGGGAAUGUAGUGAACGUGGCACAUUAACCCCUGCAGUCCCUGGAAUCCCAAAGGGUUCCUGAGCCAGCAGGUCCUCUGUGAUCAACCUCAUUCCCAAGCCCAGUUUCCCAUUGGUGUCAGAUUCCCAGACCCCCCCCCCAAGCAUGCAAUUGGUGUCAGUCAUUUGUGACUACCCAAUGAAGAAUUUCUGAAGCCUCCUCAGCAAAAGUGGUUCCUGUAGAAAUGUCCAAAACAGUGUGGCUUGGGAAGCUGGAAGGAGAGGCUGCUUUGUUCUGGCUCUUGUUGUGUGUGUGAUGAGUAUUACAGUGUUAAAGAUAAGCUUUAAAACUAGUGAGAGCCACCAGAAAAGGGAGAUAAAUGUGCUUGGCUUCUGGGCAGGAUAUUUGGCUCCAUAGCAGAGCAUCUGUCUAGCACGUGUGAGGUGUGGACUCAGUUUCCAGUACUGCAUAAGAAAACAAAAGGAAGGAAGGAAGGAAGACAGUCGUUGGAGUAGACCCAACGACUUUCCAAGUGGAAAUCUCUUGUCCACUUGCAUAAAAACAACAAAUUUACUUUAUUUAUUUAUCUGGGGGCACUCACGUAGAGGUCGGAGAACAACCUGCACAAGUUGGUUAAUUUUACCAUGUCAGUCCCUGGGAUCAAACAGGUCAGAAGACUUGGUGGCAAGUGCCUUUGCCAGCUGAGCCAUCUCACUAGCCCGAACAGGAAAAGUUUAAUUCAUGUUCUCUGUUAGGUAUCUUGUGCUCGUGAAAUAAGCCAAAUCGGAAGACCAGUGGUUGUCUUUGGGUGGUGUUCAUCACUUGAUUGUGCCCCCUAAGAUCCUAAGUUAAGGUUUGAUCACAGUAUGAAAACAGUGAGAUGUUCUCUGUACCUGUAAGGGGUAGUACCUUGUAGGAGGUCUUUAGGUCAUUGGAGAAUGCUCUUGAAGGGACUGUGGGAGUCUUCCUGUCCUCUCUGCUCUGUUUAGACCUAUGCCUGCUUAAUGAGGUUUACAAAGUGGAGUCAGAAAUAGAUUGACAACAGGUAGUUUAUUAAGGAAUAGUACUCUCACAAAGGAGCCACUGACCAGGUUUACCCCACAGCGGGAGGGACCUACAAGAUGCUUCCCAGUGAGCUUAGCCAGGCGAAGGGGACAGCAUGCCUGCCUCCCUCCUACUUAAACCCUUGUUAGGUCACUCUGACCACGCCAAAUGGGCGUGGUCAGCGGUACCUCUUAAUCAGGGUUUCUCCCUACACCUGCUCCUGAUAUGGGAUAUCCUUCGGUAUGCCGCAAAUAUGUGUUGCUUUUAUUGGUUGAUAAUGAGGCUGAUUUGGGCAAUGGCCAAAUAGAGUAUAGCUAGGCAGGCAAUCCAAACAGAGAUAGAAAAGGAAAGAAGGCGGAGACAGACGCCAUGGAAGCAAGAUGUGAGGUAAGAAGCUACGAGCAUUGUGGUAAAAUAUAAACCAAAUGGGUUAAUUUAAUUGUGAGCGCUGUCAGUAAUAUGCCUGGGCCAUUGGCCAAACAAUUAUAAUUAGUAUUAAGACUUAGAGUGGUUAUUUAGAAACUGAAGGGUGGGACCAGAACCCUCUAACUACAUGCUCCCACCUGGGAUUCAAAUACAAAGUAUUGCUGUCAGCUGUCCUCAUCAGAGAGCCCAACCAGUGGGGCCACCUGACCUUGGAACUAAAUAAAUCUACCUUUGCUUUUUAAGUCAAUGGCGUCAAGUGUGUCUGUGUAGGUGUGCUGCCUGUCCUCUGUAGACCAAGCUGAACUCAAACUCACAGAUCUACCUGCCUCUGCUUCCCAAACGCUGGGAUUAAAGGUGUGUACCACCACUGCCUGGCUUAUCUCCAGACUUUUUAUUGCAUGAGUAAAUAAAGGUAUUUUGCCUAAGCUCCUGCAGGUCACAGUUCUGUGACUUGCAGCCAACCAAGCACUGAGUUAGUAUAGCCGGGUUUAUUUUCCAGGACCGUUUCCCUACCUUUUCCUAGGUCACUCCUAAAUCCCAAUUUCUUAAAAUUUAAUGGAUCUCCAUUACCUGGAGAAAUCAACUCUAAAUUUCUAAAGCCUGGAAGUCCCAGACCUUCCUUGUGUGGCCCCGUGUACUCCUCAGCUGUUGUCUAACUCUGGAAUCCUAGGUUAGCAGGUGUGUUGGUUAAAUUACAUGUUGUAUUCUGGACAGCCACACAGUUUGCUGGGCUGUGGAACACUUCAGUGUCAGCCAGCAUGUAUCCCCCCAGCCUCCGAAUCUAGAGGGCUCACGCAGGGUCUGGCUUCUCGGUAGACCUCACUGCCUUUGCAGCUUUUUCCCCUGCUGUAAGAUGCACAGGGACCUUGGUUUAGAAGCAUCCUUACCCUGGGGCCUUCCCAGCUGAAGGAGUUUAUUUGAGCUGAAAUGGGUGGCUGAAAAGAGCAAUUCAAGAAGCUCAGAGUUUGAUCUAACACAUAGGCAGUACAGGGCCUUUUGGGGUAACUGAACAAAAGCCACCACAUGCCUCUUUGACUAAUAGCCAUCCUUUGGCUAGUGGCUCAAUCCCUACUUGUAGCAUCCCAAGGCUCUGUCUCUGUCUCUCUCUCUCUAUGUCUCUGUCUCUCUCUCUCUCUGUGUGUGUGUGUGUGUGUGUGUGUGAGUGUGUGUGUGUGUGUGAGUGUGUGUGUGAGUGUGUGUGAGUGUGUGUGUGUGAGUGUGUGUGUGUGUGAGUGUGUGUGUGUGAGUGAGUGUGUGUGUGAGUGUGUGUGUGAGUGUGUGUGUGUGAGUGUGUGUGUGUGAGUGUGUGUGUGUGUGAGUGUGUGUGAGUGUGUGUGUGUGUGUGAGUGUGUGUGUGUGUGUGUGUGAGUGUGUGUGUGUGAGUGUGUGUGUGUGAGUGUGUGUGUGAGUGUGUGUGUGUGUGUGUGUGUGUGUGUGAGUGUGUGUGUGUGAGUGUGUGUGUGUGUGUGUGAGUGUGUGUGUGUGUGAGUGUGUGUGUGAGUGUGUGUGAGUGUGUGAGUGUGUGUGUGUGUGAGUGUGUGUGUGUGUGUGAGUGUGUGUGUGAGUGUGUGUGUGUGUGUGAGUGUGUGUGUGAGUGUGAGUGUGUGUGAGUGUGUGUGUGAGUGUGUGUGAGUGUGUGUGUGUGUGUGUGUGUUGUAAGCCUACCAGUCUUUGAAUUUAGGACCCACCUUAAUCCAAUAUGACAUCAUCUUCAGCUUAGUUAAUUGAAUUUACAAAAACACUAUUUUCAAAUAAAGUGAGAUUCCAAGGUUCCUGUGGGUCGUGAAUUUGGGAGAGACAACUUUGGACCCACUGUGUCCAGGAUACUUGAUCUCCCUGUCAGCCCUCUCCUCGGACCCUUCUACGGGAAGACAUGGAAAUACUUAGAUUAAUAGUAAUGGGUUAAUAAUGAAGACAGAGCUAGUCGAUAAGAAGCCUAGCCAUCGGCCAACAAUUAAUAAUUAAUAUGCCUCUGUGUGUUCAUUUGGGGCUGAAACGGUGUGACCUGGCGGGACAAGGAACUCCAGCAACAAGUAAGUAUGUACUGUGUGCCGUAUACGUUCCCGAAUGCUGGGGGUGUGAAAGUGGGCAUGCUUUGGGCAAUCCAUCACUGGUAGAGAGCUGCCCAGUUCAGCACUCUGGGCAGGACUAUGACAUGGUGUUGAGUGUAGAAUAAGCUCACCCGAGGGUCCAGAAAGAGGUAACCAAGCAGAGGAAGUAGUGACAGGGCUGAGAUGGUUCAUCUUUGUUUCCCACUUGCUGGGGUUGGGGAUCACCUAAGAAACUCCCCUCUGGGUGUGUCUGAGGGUGUUUCCGAAGAGGUUUAGUGGAGGAGGGAAACCCCGUCCUGAAUGUAGGUGGCACCAUCCCACAACCCGGGGCUCUGGAACCAAUGAAAAGGAGCAAGUGAGCUUCCAUAAUGCAGAUGUGAUAUGACCAGUUGUCUCAAAUUUCCGUCAUCAUAGUGGGGAGUCUUGCACGCCAUGGUUUCCCCACCUCCAUGCACUGUGCCAAAGGGACCCCUUCCUUGGCUUGUUUCCUGUCAUGUAUUUGAUCAUAGAGAUGAAUCGUUAACAACUACAACAUCCCUGGCUGGAAGGGGCAGAGGGGAGGAAGACGGAAGAGGUUGAUCCAUGUUACCCCACCAAGCAGAAAGGCAUUACUGGUCACACACUACCUCAGCUUGACACCUCUUAUGCUUGCUUCACCAGCAGGCUGGGAUUUUGUUUUAUUUAUUUAUUUUAACACAUGUUCCAUCUGGAGAGGCCACAGACCUCUUUGGAGAGGUGUCCCCAAUGACAGACAUCCAAGACAGAAAGAUCUUGACCAUCACUGAGUGUCAAGGCCUGAAUCAGGCCAUCACUGAGUGUCCAUGCCAUAAGCUUACCUCAAACUCUCUUUGCUCUGUUAAGGAAAGUUUUCUGUUACUUUAUCACAGUUGUAACUGACAUUGGGUAUGAGGCCAGGGGUGUCAGUUUCCACAGUUUGUCAUCUCAAGAGGAGCAUGGAUAGGCACUGUUCUUAUAACCACAUGCUAGUGUGUGUGUGUUUUUUUGUGUGAAUGUGUGUGUGCAUGUGUGUUUGUGUCUGUGUGAGUUUUGUGUGUGUGUGUGUGUAAGUGUGUGUGUAUGUGUGCAUGUGUGUGUGUGAGUUUUGUGUGUGUGUGUGAGUGUGUGUGUAUGUGUGCAUGUGUGUGUGUGUGAGUUUUGUGUGUGUGUGAGUGUGUGUGUAUGUGUGCAUGUGUGUGUGUAAGUGUGUGCAUGUGUGUGUGUCUGUGUGUGAGUGUGGCACAUAACUGCCAGUCUCACAUAACAACCUCUCUUGACAUAGAAACAGACAACAGCUUGUGACCCUGGGUCCUUUGGUUUGGGAUCAGGACAACCCAACAGGAUGUCUUGCCUGCCCACCAUGUCUGAAAGAACUGGAAUCUAAGAGACACUCAGGUAGCCAAGGAUCCUCCACUCAGCCUAGCCAUGGCCAUGGAUGACUCAAAGGUCGGCUCAUCAAGUGCCAUCCAGAUCCACUGUGUGCAGUAGCUUCCCCAAUACGGAUGGCCUCCCUGCAACAUGGAGCCUGGAUCCUAAGAAGCAGCAUCACACAGCCAGGAAGGAGGUAUGGCUUUUAUAGCUGACCUUCAGACACAAUGUCAUGCUAUGGUACAGUUGUCCUCGAAAUGUACAAGGACUGAGCCCAGGAAACCGUCUUGGAUGCCACACACUUGCUGAGGCUCUAAUCCCUUCUGUCAAAUGGAACAGCAUUUGCACAUAACCUGGGUGUUCUUUGUUCUGAGUUCUAAUAAAUCAUUUGUAGAUGUUACAUAGUCACUAUGCUGUAUUGUUUGGAGGACUGAUAGAAAAAGGUAUAUAUGGAUUUAGUGCUGAUACAUACUUUUAAAACAUUGCCAAAUACAGCUUUUCGGUGUGUUCUCUGUUCCCCUGGACAGGUGGGAGUGGCUAAGAGUUGGUGGCUAUGAUUUAUAAAGCCAGACAGUUGCAUACUGAGGAUGUGGGUGUCAGAAUGGAUCAGCCAGAGAGAGAGAGAGAAGGACAGUCAAAACAGGCAAGAGGAAACAACUGGAUUUGAAGUCUGCCCCAAACCAUAAGGUCAUCUGUGACUUCAUUCUCGAGGAAAGUGUGAGGCUCCUCAAGAUGGAGAAUGCUCUGUCAUGGUUCAGAUGACAAUUGCAGCCAGCACCUGAGCCUGGGGGAACUGAGCCUGAGACUCAAGAGGGGUGAGCCCAUCCCUGCUGUUAUCAGUAUCCGGUAGCCCGAAGGCAAUCACCUACACAGCGUCUUACAAUGUAGACUUCGCUUCCUUCCUCAAAACUGGCAUCUCAGCUGCUUGAAGGGGCCAGAUGUCCUAAGGAAUUAACUACCCCAGCACCAUGUACUCGGAGAGCCUCUGAUAAUUGAUGACCGUUAUUAAUCUAAUUAUCUUUCUGAUGUACAUUGUGCUUGUCAACAUAUCUGUGAACGUUUUGUAGAUGAAGAAUGGAGAAGUACAGUAUGUGAGUUGCCAGGACAUGCCAGGUCUCUGCCAGGAUAUAUAUGUAUGUAUGUAUGUAUGUAUGUAUGUAUGUAUGUAUAUGUAUAUAAAGACCCCCGAGAGGGAAGAUCCUCACUCAAGUCUCGGGAUGAUGAGACCCCCCCCCCCAAGAACUCAAGAGAGACCGUCCUUGCUGCAAUCACACAAGGUUUAUUGACAGGAACCAGUGCGCUGGGGCCGAGACUCAUAUCCCACGCAGGGGUAGAGGAGUUUUGACCCUGAAUGGCUGGGAAUAGGGUUUUUUUAAAGGAAGAAUCCACAACCCAAAAUACCAAGAAUACCAGUGAAAGGUCCGGAGGGAAAUCACAACGGGAAACUCCCUGUUCCUUAAGAUCGUUUGUAAGAUUCUAAUCUAACUUUUUAUGGCUAGCAUUUUCCUGAAACAGAGUUGCUGAACCAGCUAGCCACCCUAUAUCCUAGGCCUUAUUUUGUCUGCUGGGGGGGAGGGGGUCGGGUCUUCUUUAUCCUGGCCUUUCAAAUAUAUAUAUUAUAUAUAUAUAUAUAUAUAUAUAUAUAUAUAAUGUCUAUGGCAGUGGCCUCAACACUGAUAUUUUCCCUUCUCCUCUUUUUGUUUUGUGGUUUUUACUUGUUUGUUUUGUGCCAACAAGAAAAGUAGCAUUUUUUUCCUCCAGUCAAAACCAAGUGUAAAUAUCUAAAUGUGUAAUAAAAGAUGUCAGUGCUUGAAAGGGACGUAGAUGGCAUCUGUAUCUGUUCCUGGGGAAAAAAAUAAAUAAAUGAGAACUCCUUAAGC